CUGGCACCUUCAAUACCUUCCCAGUUUCCACCUGCACAGCGAUGCUUUUCUGGCACAGCCAACCAGGUACAUCCAUCCCGAAGGGCUGCCCUCUGACUACACCAUCACCCUGCUGUUCAGACUGCUGCCAGACACUCCAGAGGAGCCCUUCGCCCUCUGGGAGAUCCUCAACAAGAACAACGAGCCGCUGGUGGGAGUCAUCCUCGACAACGGCGGAAAGACUCUGACGUUCUUCAACAACGACUACAAAGGAGAGUUCCAGACGGUCACCUUCGAAGGGCCAGAAAUCAAAAAACUCUUCUACGGCA